UUUCCUUUCACCCACAAUGUAAAUAGCUCCGGGACAGAAUGCCUCGAUCGGUUGCCUCUUCAUCUCCCCCCUCUACAGCGUUUCUCCAACGUCAUUCUACAGUCUUCAGAUUCCGCCGGCGGAGCGAUAUCAUGGGAGGUUUUAUCUUCUUCAUUACGUAUUUUCAUAUAUCCUGACCUCCUUUGUUUCGUGAAAUUUAUUUGUUUAGAUUGAUCUGCUUUAGAAGCUGAUGUUGAUGACUCCGAAAUGAUAGCUUUUGGCUUUUGUAUGAAAAUGCUUGCAAAUUCAUCCCUUAUCUGUUGACUCUUUACGCAUUUUGUCGCUUGAAUUACUUUGCAUUUUCGUGGUGGAUUUUGUUUGACUUGACAAGUACAAAUAAUUGAUUUGGUAUAUUAUUUUGCAUUAUAGACUCGUUUUUUGUCCAUAAAGUAUGGAAAAGCUUUGUUGUUGUUGUUGUUGUUGUUGUUGUUGUUGCUGCUGCAUUUGAAGUGAAAAUGGAAAUGAUGGCAAAAUGUAAAAGGUCUGAGCAGGGAGAAAUGGUGGUGGUAAUGAGAUGAAGUAGAGGGUCCCUGUCCUUGCUUAAGUUGAUGCAUUGUGACCUUCGCAACCUCUUCUACAGCAAACUCACCAUGCUUAAUUGCUUAAGCGUGGUGGUGAUGGGUCGUGAGAAAAAGGCGUGGAUUGCUUUCUAGCAUUGAAUGUCAAUCUAGACUUCGCCCAACAUUUGGCCACCAUUAUUCCCUUGCACUGAUCAAACCUUGUUGCUGAUCCACAUAUAACCUCUUUGCCAGCAUAGAAUUGGACCAGUUUCUUUGGUUGAUUAAAGGUGGUGGUGUUUUCUUUUUAAAAUGCUUAUGUACUCGACUGAAGUUGAAACUAUGUUACCUUGAACUUCCCCUUGUUAGAGCACACACAACUGAAUUUGGAAAUGCUAAAUACUACUCUGUUGUCUUGCUUAUCUGGAUAUCUAGAUUUCUUUGUAGGGUAUGCUUCUUCCAUUUUUGGGCAUUGAGAAGUAAUUUCUAUUGCAGACUUGAAGCCCAUUUCAGUUAGGUAGUUUUGUUCUAUGAGGUCCUUAGUGUGAUGCUCUUCUCUGCAGGGCCAAACACUAACAAGAGAAAUAUGCUUUUAAAACUUGAUAAGAAGUGAAAAUGCGUGUUCAAGAAGUUUUAUGUUUUUUUCAGAAAAACCAUGUUCUGAUCAGCUCCAGCUGGGCUGCACAAGCACUACCAGUUUUUCAGUAAACUUCCAUUGAAUGUAUUAGAAAAAGCAUGAGGUGGUGCUGCAGGACAAUUCAUGUCAACAUGAUCAAACCAAGAAGAACUUCAUAACCGGUUUGUCCUGCACUUUUUGCUUCUGCAUAAAGCCUAAUGGUUUUGGGGGUGCAAAGAAGCAAUGCAAUUGCAGGGUUUCGGCUGCUGAUCCAUUAUAUUUUAUAGAUGGGCUAAAUGGAUUUCUUAAUCUGUUUUUGGGCUGCUUAGUAAUGUAAAAAUGACUUUUAUUGGGUUGUGAUUUCACUUGAAAAAUGCCAGACUUCAUUUAACCCAAAAUGGGUUUUGUUUUUAUCUGAUAACAUAUUUGUUUAAAUAAUUUUUUACACUUA